UGACGCAGCAACGCCGCGUGAGUGAUGAAGGCCCUCGGGUCGUAAAGCUCUGUCAGGUGGAAAGAAAGCUCCGCUCCCCAACAAGGGGCGGAAUCGACGGUACCACCAAAGGAAGCACCGGCUAACUCCGUGCCAGCAGCCGCGGUAAUACGGAGGGUGCAAGCGUUGUUCGGAAUUAUUGGGCGUAAAGCGCGUGUAGGCGGCCCAUUAAGUCUGGUGUGAAAGCCCUUAGCUCAACUAAGGAAAGUCAUCUGAAACUGGUGGGCUUGAGUACGGGAGAGGAGAGUGGAAUUCCCAGUGUAGAGGUGAAAUUCGUAGAUAUUGGGGGGAACACCGGUGGCGAAGGCGGCUCUCUGGACCGAUACUGACGCUGAGACGCGAAAGCGUGGGGAGCAAACAGGAUUAGAUACCCUGGUAGUCCACGCCGUAAACGAUGGGCACUAGGUGUAGAGGGUAUUGACCCCCUCUGUGCCGCAGCUAACGCAUUAAGUGCCCCGCCU
rnacentral:rRNA from 1 species